rnacentral:lncRNA from 1 species
AUGUCUAGGAGCUUCUACUUUGUAAUUGUUGGCCACCAUGAUAAACCAGUUUUUGAAAUGGAGUUUUUGCCAGCUGGGAAGGCAGAAUCCAAAGACUAUCGUCAUCUGCACCAGCUCAUAGCUCAUGCUGCUCUGGACCUCACAGAAGAGAACAUGUGGCUUUUGAACAACAUGUUCUUGAAAAGUGGGGGCAACUCCAGCAAGUGGUUUGUGUCAGCAUUCAUUACUGCAGGACAUAUGAGACUUAUUAUGCUUCAUGGCAUAAGGCAAGAAGAUGGAAUAAAUCACUUCUUUACUGAUGUUUAUGGUUUACAUAUAAAA